AUUGAACGCUGGCGGCAUGCUUUACACAUGCAAGUCGAACGGCAGCGCGGGCUUCGGCCUGGCGGCGAGUGGCGAACGGGUGAGUAAUACAUCGGAACGCGCCCAGUAGUGGGGGAUAGCUCGGCGAAAGCCGGAUUAAUACCGCAUACGACCUGAGGGUGAAAGCGGGGGAUCUUCGGACCUCGCGCUAUUGGAGCGGCCGAUGGCAGAUUAGCUAGUUGGUGGGGUAAAGGCCUACCAAGGCGACGAUCUGUAGCUGGUCUGAGAGGACGACCAGCCACACUGGGACUGAGACACGGCCCAGACUCCUACGGGAGGCAGCAGUGGGGAAUUUUGGACAAUGGGCGAAAGCCUGAUCCAGCAAUGCCGCGUGUGUGAUGAAGGCCUUCGGGUUGUAAAGCACUUUUGGCGGGAACGAAAAGGACUAUGCCAAUACCACGGUUCGAUGACGGUACCCGCAGAAUAAGCACCGGCUAACUACGUG
rnacentral:rRNA from 1 species